UGUUAUUCUAAUCGUUAGCCAUUUUCUUUUCGGUGACCUUCAGCUACCAGACACUUUUCUAUCAUGAAGACCUUUGUCCUGCUUUUUGCUGUUGCUUUCUUGGUUUUCCAGGUCAGAGCCAAGCCAUCUCUAGCUUCUGGCCUUGGACUUCAGGCUGAAGCAGAUGCUAAAGAGCAGCAGGAGCCCAUUGAAUCAAGAAGUCCUAUUGUGUGCAAAUCUGUUGGGGGCAACUGCCGACCCUGCUGCCAUCCGAAUGAGAAGUCUGUUGGACAGUGUUUGCCUGGUCUUCUCUGCUGUCAAGCUUACUAGUAACAAUCCUUUUUAAGGGAACAAAUCAAGAUCAGCAGCCUGUGACUUCAGAGCAAAGACAUCACCUGUUUAACCAGAUGAAUUGAUAUCAAGCUUUCCUCAUGCUCAUUGCAAUAAAAAAUCACUUUUGCGCCCAUCA